GACGAACGCUGGCGGCGUGCUUAACACAUGCAAGUCGAACGGAAAGGCCCUGCUUUUGUGGGGUGCUCGAAUGGCGAACGGGUGAGUAACACGUGAGUAACCUGCCCUUGACUUUGGGAUAACUUCAGGAAACUGGGGCUAAUACCGGAUAGGAGCUCCUGCUGCAUGGUGGGGGUUGGAAAGUUUCGGCGGUUGGGGAUGGACUCGCGGCUUAUCAGCUUGUUGGUGGGGUAGUGGCUUACCAAGGCUUUGACGGGUAGCCGGCCUGAGAGGGUGACCGGCCACAUUGGGACUGAGAUACGGCCCAGACUCCUACGGGAGGCAGCAGUGGGGAAUAUUGCACAAUGGGCGGAAGCCUGAUGCAGCAACGCCGCGUGCGGGAUGACGGCCUUCGGGUUGUAAACCGCUUUCGCCUGUGACGAAGCGUGAGUGACGGUAAUGGGUAAAGAAGCACCGGCUAACUACGUGCCAGCAGCCGCGGUGAUACGUAGGGUGCGAGCGUUGUCCGGAUUUAUUGGGCGUAAAGGGCUCGUAGGUGGUUGAUCGCGUCGGAAGUGUAAUCUUGGGGCUUAACCCUGAGCGUGCUUUCGAUACGGGUUGACUUGAGGAAGGUAGGGGAGAAUGGAAUUCCUGGUGGAGCGGUGGAAUGCGCAGAUAUCAGGAGGAACACCAGUGGCGAAGGCGGUUCUCUGGGCCUUUCCUGACGCUGAGGAGCGAAAGCGUGGGGAGCGAACAGGCUUAGAUACCCUGGUAGUCCACGCUGUAAACGGUGGGUACUAGGUGUGGGGUCCAUUCCACGGGUUCCGUGCCGUAGCUAACGCUUUAAGUACCCCGCCUGGGGAGUACGGCCGCAAGGCUAAAACUCAAAGGAAUUGACGGGGCCCCGCACAAGCGGCGGAGCAUGCGGAUUAAUUCGAUGCAACGCGUAGAACCUUACCUGGGUUUGACAUGGAUCGGGAGCGCUCAGAGAUGGGUGUGCCUCUUUUGGGGUCGGUUCACAGGUGGUGCAUGGCUGUCGUCAGCUCGUGUCGUGAGAUGUUGGGUUAAGUCCCGCAACGAGCGCAACCCUUGUUCACUGUUGCCAGCACGUUAUGGUGGGGACUCAGUGGAGACCGCCGGGGUCAACUCGGAGGAAGGUGGGGAUGACGUCAAGUCAUCAUGCCCCUUAUGUCCAGGGCUUCACGCAUGCUACAAUGGCUGGUACAGAGAGUGGCGAGCCUGUGAGGGUGAGCGAAUCUCGGAAAGCCGGUCUCAGUUCGGAUUGGGGUCUGCAACUCGACCUCAUGAAGUCGGAGUCGCUAGUAAUCGCAGAUCAGCAACGCUGCGGUGAAUACGUUCCCGGG
rnacentral:rRNA from 1 species